UUUUUAGUAUAAGUAUGUCCCAAUCUGUAUUAGAGACAUACUUAUACUAAAA
rnacentral:pre_miRNA from 1 species